CUCGCUGGAUGGCGUUGAGGAGGCGCGCCUGCUCGUCGGCGGAGAGGAAGGCGGCGCAGAGCCACAGCCCCCUGACCCCAGCCACCGCCUCCCACCUCCAGUGCCCGCGGCCUGCUCCGGGGCUGACACCGGCGGGUGUGUCGGAAUCGCUGCUCGACGAGUCACCGAAGGCCUCGCGGAGCGCCUCCCGGUAGUGGGACUCACCGCCGUCGCCGGCGGCGGCCAUGUGGUGUCUCCGUGGAGUCUCUUCCAGUCUCGCAGCACAGAGCGGUACAGCAAGAUUCAUUCAACUCGUUACGCCUUCUGUG
rnacentral:misc_RNA from 1 species